rnacentral:rRNA from 1 species
GACGAACGCUGGCGGCGUGCUUAACACAUGCAAGUCGAACGGAAAGGCCCUGCUUUUGUGGGGUGCUCGAGUGGCGAACGGGUGAGUAACACGUGAGUAACCUGCCCUUGACUUUGGGAUAACUUCAGGAAACUGGGGCUAAUACCGGAUAGGAGCUCCUGCUGCUUGGUGGGGGUUGGAAAGUUUCGGCGGUUGGGGAUGGACGCGCGGCUUAUCAGCUUGUUGGUGGGGUAGUGGAUUACCAAGGCUUUGACGGGUAGCCGGCCUGAGAGGGUGACCGGCCACAUUGGGACUGAGAUACGGCCCGGACUCCUACGGGAGGCAGAAGUGGGGAAUAGUGCACAAUGGGCGGAAGCAUGAUGCAGCAACGCCGCGUGCGGGAUGACGGCCUUCGGGUUGUAAACCGCUUUCGCCUGUGACGAAGCGUGAGUGACGGUAAUGGGUAAAGAAGCACCGGCUAACUACGUG